rnacentral:pre_miRNA from 1 species
UACUAGGGACAGAGAAUGUCAGUACUAGAGGCAGCAAAAUCAAGAAAAAAUAGUGAGGCCCUAUCAUGAGCUGUAAUAGCAUCUGUAAAAACAUGUAUAAAUACCCGAACACUUCUAUCAAUUGCAGCUCAUGAUAGGGCCCCACUAUUUUGUAUUGAUUCCAUUGCCUCUAGUACUAACAUUCUCUGUCCCUAGUAC